rnacentral:rRNA from 1 species
GAUGAACGCUGGCGGCGUGCCUAAUACAUGCAAGUCGAGCGAACAGAUGAGGAGCUUGCUCCUCUGACGUUAGCGGCGGACGGGUGAGUAACACGUGGAUAACCUACCUAUAAGACUGGGAUAACUUCGGGAAACCGGAGCUAAUACCGGAUAAUAUAUUGAACCGCAUGGUUCAAUAGUGAAAGACGGUUUUGCUGUCACUUAUAGAUGGAUCCGCGCCGCAUUAGCUAGUUGGUAAGGUAACGGCUUACCAAGGCAACGAUGCGUAGCCGACCUGAGAGGGUGAUCGGCCACGCUGGAACUGAGACACGGUCCAGACUCCUACGGGAGGCAGCAGUAGGGAAUCUUCCGCAAAGGGCGAAAGCCUGACGGAGCAACGCCGCGUGAGUGAUGAAGGUCUUCGGAUCGUAAAACUCUGUUAUUAGGGAAGAACAAAUGUGUAAGUAACUAUGCACGUCUUGACGGUACCUAAUCAGAAAGCCACGGCUAACUACGUG